UUGAGCUCAGCGAGGACAGAAACCUCGCCUGGAGUAAACGGGCAAAAGCUCACUUGAUUUUGAUUUCCAGUACGAAUAGAGACCGCGAAAGCGU
rnacentral:ncRNA from 1 species